CCACGACAGUUCCGCAAUUCUAGUCUGUUUUGACGUUGUUAAAAGAGCUCUUCAAAGCAACAUACGGAUCCAUAAGCAAGUCAGCGUUCUGCUCACCGAAGCAAACCAGCAGACAAAAUGGCAUCCGACUCUCCACGCAGACCUAGUCGCUGUGCUGGAGGGGUUCUGGUGCGAGCACAAGCUGCUACUGAGCAGUCUUACAUGGAAAGUGUUGUGACCUUCCUGCAGGAUGUGGUCCCCCAGGCAUAUACCGGAGCUCCACUCACUGAUGAAAAAGAGAAGAUAAUUUGGGUUCGAUUUGAGAAAGCUGACGUCAAUGAUACUGCCCGCAAUCCAGAGUUUAUGGAGAUGCACAGUGGUACUACCGACCCUCCUCUUUGCCUCAUGAUUGGCUACACUGACGGGAUGCAGAUCUGGAGCGUAUCUUUGGCAGGGGAAGCCCAAGAGCUGUUCUCAGUGCGCCAUGGUCCUGUGCGAGCUGCUCGCAUUCUGCCAGCACCUCAUAUCAGUCUUCUGAAGACGGACAGUUUUGCCGACAAGAGGCCUUUGUUGGGGGUGUGCAAGAGCACAGGGUCUUCUGGGACAAGCCCUCCCUACUGUUGCGCUGACCUGUAUUCUCUGAGGACAGGGGAAAUGGUCAAAUCAAUUCAGUUUAAGACGGCCAUCUAUGAUCUUCACUGCAACAAACACAUUCUUGUUGUGAGCCUACAAGAGAAGAUUGCAGCAUUUGACAGCUGCACCUUCACUAAGAAGUUCUUUGUUACAAGCUGCUAUCCCUGCCCUGGCCCCAGCCUAAAUCCAAUAGCUCUGGGAAGCCGCUGGCUAGCCUACGCUGAGAACAAGUUGAUCAGAUGUCACCAAUCUCGCGGGGGAGCUUGCGGUGACAAUGCACAGUCCUAUACAGCUACAGUGAUCAAUGCUGCCAAAACAUUAAAGACAGGCCUGACAAUGGUGGGUAAAGUUGUUACCCAGUUGGCAGGCACACUACCAGCAGGCACUCCUGAUGAGGAGGGCACACCUCACAGUGCGAGCCGCCGCAGCCCCCACAAUCCCGGUGUGGUCACCAUCAUUGACACACACAGUGUUGGAGAAGGACAGGUCUUGGUGAGUGAGGACUCAGAUGGAGAGGGAGUGGUGGCUCACUUCCCAGCUCAUGACAAACCCAUAUCCUGCAUGCAAUUCAACCCCAGUGGAAUGCUGCUGGUGACUGCUGACACUCUGGGCCACGAUUUCCACGUCUUCCAGAUUCUCACCCACCCAUGGGCGUCCUCACAAAGCGCCGUUCACCAUCUCUACACUCUGCAUCGUGGGGAAACUGAGGCCAAGGUCCAGGACAUGUGUUUCAGUCAGGACAGUCGCUGGGUAGCCAUCAGCACUCUCCGCGGCACGACCCAUGUAUUUCCCGUCAACCCCUAUGGUGGUGCACCAUGUGCUCGCACGCACAUGUCCCCACGGGUGGUCAACCGGAUGUCUCGCUUCCAGAAGAGUGCUGGCCUGGAGGAGAUUGAACAGGAACUAAACAGGGUGGCUGCAUUAGGAGGAGGAGCUGGUACAGGAGGCACAGGAGGGGGUGGCUGCAUCCUAGGCGGAGGAGGUGGCAUCGGGGGCCGCUGUAGCCCCAUUCCUGGCCUGUCCAGCAGUCCCUCAGGGUCUCCACUGCACGCCAAGCUGUGCAGCCAGGAUUCAUACAACAACUUCACCAAUAACAACAUGGGGAAUCCUCGACUGACCCCGCUGCCCACCCUCACUGUGGUGCUGCCUUUGGCUCAAAUUAAACAGCCGAUGACCCUGGGCACCAUCACCAAACGCACUGGACCCUACCUCUUUGGGGCGGGAUGUUUUGCCAUUAAAACUCCAUGCAAAGUUAAGCCACCCCCUCAGAUUUCCCCAAGCAAGUCCAGUGGUGGAGAGUUUUGUGUGGCUGCCAUUUUUGCCUCGUCUCGCUCCUGGUUCAUCACCAAUCCCAACAUGAAAAGGGACAAAGAUCAGUCCAGACAGUCGGUUGUCGACUCACUGUACAUCAUCAGUUGCUAUGGUAACUUGGUGGAGCAUGUUCUGGAGCCCCGGCCAAUUAGCACUGCUCAAAAAAUUAGUGAUGACACACCUUUGGAGCUCAGCACCUGUCCAAGGGCCUGCUGGAUUCUGGCCAGGACUCCACAGUGGAAUGAGCUGCAACCACCCUUCAACUCCAACCAUCCCCUGGUGUUGGCCUCAGACCUGGUGCAGUACUAUCAGUAUCUUUGGGCUGCGAUGCCCCCAGGAAGUCCAGGCCCAAUCACCCGUCAUGAGUCGUCAGACAGCUUGGCAUCAGACCACAGUGGUCAGGAGGACGAGGAGUGGCUCUCUCAGGUGGAGAUUGUGACCCAUACAGGGCCCCACCGGCGCCUGUGGAUGGGCCCCCAAUUUCAAUUUAAGACUAUUCACCCCUCAGGUCAGACCACAGUCAUCUCCUCCUCCUCCUCAGUCCUUCAGUCCCAGGGCCCCACUGAUGUCCAACAGCCCCUGUUGGACUUUGACACAGAUGACCUGGACUUACACAGCCUGAGGAUCCAACCAGUUCGUUCAGACCCAGUCAGCAUGCCCGGUUCAUCACGGCUGGUGGCUGAUCGUAGAGGACAGUCUAACAUCAUGGACACAGGAUCAGAAUGGGCCAUCCACAAAGGGAGCAGGUCCUUGUUUACGGAGAUCACCAUGUUGCACCACCAUGUUUCUACAGUAGCCCAGGAUGGACAACCAGACACUGGCUCUAGACUGGGACUUGUGUUUUCGCCUCGGCCACCAUAGUUCACAGCCCCUCCGUGACAGGCAACUUCGGAAAAAUAAUGAUGUGAUUUGAAACGGCUUUCUUCAGUAUUUUUACUGGUUUGCAUUAGCUGGUCUGCUUGAUUUGGAGAGGGAGAGACCUCUGUGUAUAAUUCAGCUCCUGGUGAAAACCUACUGAACAAUAAACACUGAAGGAAUUCUAACCAGGAGAAGUGUCAGCUGGUUGCAUUCUGCAAUCCUCACCACUAAAUGCCACUAAAUCUUAUUAAACUGUACACACUAAACCUUUAAGUUACUCACUAAACAAUGCCAAACUUUGUAGGUUCCAGUUUAUUUUCCUUGUUUCAUGUCAUUGUAAAGUGAAGGAGUAUUUUUCACUAUUUUUUGACGUUUUAUUGACAAAAUGUAACUAUUCAAUUAAUUGCAAAAAAUUUGAUAAAUUAAUCCAGAAUUCAAUUACCUUUCUUGUCUCAAUUCAAAUUAUGAUGACACUUCUGAUGACCUCAUUUGUCCGGAGGCUGCAUGAGCUGCUAAAAACAUGCUGUGGCUAAGCUAACAAGACCCUCAGUUCUCCCGCAUCAAUUUGAGUGAAGAAACACAAACCAAGAAACUCUGAACCACCUUCACAACAAAGACUGGAGCAGGAUGUUUCACAGUGGUUUUGGGGAAAAGAAACAGGUUCUAGUUCAUCCUACGUGUUUGAUACAAUAUCCAGGCCUAGAGCCUAACUGAUUGAAUCCAUACACCCUGCAGAACAUCCACGAUAUUUACAGGAGUUUGCUGAUUCGGCUGGUCAGUGGGUUGGCCUCCGACUGCUCCUUGGCUGAAGCGAGAGAUGUGUCGGGCAACCACUUCCUCCAUUGAGGUUUGCUCAUACUGGGGUGCCAGGUCCUUUGGGAUGGGGAUUUUCUGCAUCUCCUCAGCAAAUGGCACUGGGGUUCACAAACACCUCCACAAAGAAGAGCUUCAUCAGGUCAUCUACAGUCUGUUAAAUAUCGCCUUUAAAUAUUGAUUUACUAAAAUGAAGUGCUUCACUGAAUCCAAAUUGCUUGUAUAUAAACUCUUUAUUUAAUUAAAGUGCUGUGUUUUCAUUGAGUGCCAGUCCUCCUGUGAUAUUUCUGUUUCUAAUUGUUUUUCCCAUUUAACUUUAAUACACUCGGUAUUGUUCCCUUUCUGCUUUUGUAGGCCCUGAUAUAGUCUGGAAAUUACGUUUUUAUUGCCCUGUUUGUAAGCAUCAAUUAGGAUAUUUAUAACUGCAUUUUCCUCCUCAGAUAUUCCUGGUCUCUUUUGUAGUAAUCUCUCAUUUGUAAAUGUAUGUAGAAAUCUUUAUUUUCUAAUUCAGAUUCCUUCUGUAGUUCUCUAAAGCAUUAAAUUCAUUCCCCUGAGUCAGUGUACAUAUUUCUGUAAUGCCCUUUUCCCACCAUUGUCUGAAUCUGAUCUCCCUUCAUGUUGCACUCAUUUAUAACUUUUGCCAGAUACUCAGUGUUUGCUUAAUAACUUCAUUAAUUGCUGUUUUGAUGUAGUUUGUUCCCUUUGUCUCCUAAGGUUGCAUGCAUUUGAACAGUUUCUAUAUAGUUUUUUAUAUGUCUUUGCAUUUGGCAUUAUAUUGAGAGCAGGAUGCACAUACCAAGAAUUGCAGUUGUACUACAAAGAGAUCCCUCAGAUUAGGCAAGGAUAAUCCUCCCUCAUCUUUAUUUAGUUGAAGUCUUUUGUACCUGAUCCUUGUUCUCUUACCAGCCCAAAUAAAUCUGGAUAUCCAUUUGUUCCAAAUCUUAAACUGCGUCAUAUCAUCAUAUGUGGAAUAGACUGAAAUAGAUAUAACAGUCUCACAUUCGUAACACAUUCAUUUUAAUCACCUCAGUCCGUGUGCCAAAGUCUAGAGUGAAGGUCGACCACUGUCUGAUACCUUUUUGAACACUGUUUUUGAUUUGGUUAUAAUUUAUUUCAAAUACUGUAUUCAGUUUCUUUGCAAUCACCACAGCUAGAUA